rnacentral:rRNA from 1 species
GACGAACGCUGGCGGCGUGCUUAACACAUGCAAGUCGAACGGAAAGGCCCUGCUUUUGUGGGGUGCUCGAGUGGCGAACGGGUGAGUAACACGUGAGUAACCUGCCCUUGACUUUGGGAUAACUUCAGGAAACUGGGGCUAAUACCGGAUAGGAGCUCCUGCUGCAUGGUGGGGGUUGGAAAGUUUCGGCGGUUGGGGCUGGACUCGCGGCUUAUCAGCUUGUUGGUGGGGUAGUGGCUUACCAAGGCUUUGACGGGUAGCCGGCCUGAGAGGGUGACCGGCCACAUUGGGACUGAGGUACGGCCCAGACUCCUACGGGAGGCAACGGUGGGGAAUAUUGCACAAUGGGCGGAAGCCUGAUGCAGCAGCGCCGCGUGCGGGAUGACGGCCUUCGAGUUGUAAACCGCUUUCGCCUGUGACGAAGCGUGAGUGACGGUAAUGGGUAAAGAAGCACCGGCUAACUACGUG